rnacentral:tRNA from 1 species
GCGCUGCUAGCUCAAUUGGCAGAGCAGCUGACUCUUAAUCAGCGGGUUCAGGGUUCGAGUCCCUGGCGGCGCACCGAAG